rnacentral:rRNA from 1 species
AGAGUUUGAUCAUGGCUCAGAUUGAACGCUGGCGGAAUGCUUUACACAUGCAAGUCGAACGGCAGCACGGGAGCUUGCUCCUGGUGGCGAGUGGCGAACGGGUGAGUAAUAUAUCGGAACGUGCCCAGUAGUGGGGGAUAGCCCGGCGAAAGCCGGAUUAAUACCGCAUACGACCUGUGGGUGAAAGCGGGGGACCUGGGGUAACCUGGGCCUCGCGCGAUGGGAGCGGCCGAUAUCGGAUUAGCUAGUUGGUGGGGUAAAGGCCUACCAAGGCGACGAUCCGUAGCGGGUCUGAGAGGACGACCCGCCACACUGGAACUGAGACACGGUCCAGACUCCUACGGGAGGCAGCAGUGGGGAAUUUUGGACAAUGGGCGCAAGCCUGAUCCAGCCAUUCCGCGUGAGUGAAGAAGGCCUUCGGGUUGUAAAGCUCUUUCAGCAGGAACGAAACGGUGGGUCUUAAUACGGCCUGCUAAUGACGGUACCUGCAGAAGAAGCACCGGCUAACUACGUGCCAGCAGCCGCGGUAAUACGUAGGGUGCGAGCGUUAAUCGGAAUUACUGGGCGUAAAGCGUGCGCAGGCGGCGACAUAAGACAGAUGUGAAAUCCCCGGGCUCAACCUGGGAACGGCGCUUGUGACUGUGUGGCUAGAGUGUAGCAGAGGGGGGUGGAAUUCCACGUGUAGCAGUGAAAUGCGUAG